UUUUUUUUAUUCAAAAAGUUUUAUUUUAGCUUGGAUAAUAAGUAUAUAAUUUAUUUACAUGUAAAUUUGAGUAUGGAGAAAAUAGUUUUUGAUAAAUUAUUAAUAAAGAAAAUUCGCAGUAUAUAGUUUUAUUAAUUAAAGAAAUUUAGAUUUGGAAAUUUAUAUUUAUAUUAACAAAAUUUGUGCCAGCAGUUGCGGUUAUACAAAUAAUAUGAUUUAUUAUUAUUAAUUAAUAAUUAAUUGAUAUUAUUAUAAAUUAAAUUUAUAUUUUAUUAAGUGAAAUUUUAAAUUGUAGAAAAUUUUAAGAGAAAGUUAUGAAGUUAUUAAAUUUUAAAGAAAACUAGGAUUAGAUACCCUAUUAUGAAAGUGUAAAUUAAAAAUUAUUUUAUUAUUAAUAGUUAUAAGCUUUAAAGUUAAAAAAUUUGGCGGUAUUUUAAUCUAUUCAGAGGAACCUGUUCUAUAAUCGAUAAUCCACGUUUAAAGUUACUUAUUUUAAUAAUUUGUAUAUCGUUGUAGUUGAAUAUUUUAACAGAAGUUCAAUAUUCAUAAUAUUAAUUAAGAAAGUAAAUCAGAUCAAGGUGCAGUUUAUAUAUAAGAAAGAAAUGGGUUACAAAAAAGUUAUUUAUGGAUUAAUAUUUGAAAAUUAUUAUGAAAGGGGAUUUGAUAGUAAUUAAAUUUAUUUAAAUUUAAUGAUUAAGUUCUAAAAUAUGCACAUAUCGCCCGUCGCUCUCAUUUAAGUUGAGAUAAGUCGUAACAAAGUAAGUGUACUGGAAAGUGUACCUAGAAAG
rnacentral:ncRNA from 1 species